UCCUGGCGGAAGCCGUCUUGGUGCCACUUCCCAUAGUUGGAUUCGUUGAAAGUCGUCUUCAUCAGCUUCUGCAGAAGACAUUUCAUAACUGGAUGUUUAGAGGACAGUCCGUAUGUCAAUCAUCUCUACAAGACCUGAUGGACAUCAGUCUUUCACGGACAUAUGACAAGAAAUGCCUGAACUUGCUAAGGGCGAAGGAGCUGGGAAUGGAGGCUUCAGGUGCUACCAUCACUGACGGUGCUUCGUGGCAACAUCCAGUUCAUCACCAAGCCAAGGAGUCAUUCAGUCUCUCCAAGGCUCCUUUUGCACGCAGGGCUUCAGUCCGUUUCUGUGUUAUACAGGCCCAAUG